rnacentral:rRNA from 1 species
AGAGCGAACGCUGGCGGCAGGCCUAACACAUGCAAGUCGAGCGCCCCGCAAGGGGAGCGGCAGACGGGAGAGUAACACGUGGGAACGUGCCCUUUGGUUCGGAACAACACAGGGAAACUUGUGCUAAUACCGGAUAAGCCCUUACGGGGAAAGAUUUAUCGCCAAAGGAUCGGCCCGCGUCUGAUUAGCUUGUUGGUGAGGUAACGGCUCACCAAGGCGACGAUCAGUAGCUGGUCUGAGAGGAUGAUCAGCCUCACUGGGACUGAGACACGGCCCAGACUCCUACGGGAGGCAGCAGUGGGGAAUAUUGGACAAUGGGCGCAAGCCUGAUCCAGCCAUGCCGCGUGGGUGAUGAAGGCCCUAGGGUUGUAAAGCCCUUUCGGCGGGGAAGAUAAUGACGGUACCGCAGAAGAAGCCCGGCUAACUCGUGCCAGCAGCCGC